CAGACCCCCUCCUCAGAGAUCUUCUCCUAAAGAACUUCAAGCAGCCUAGAGUGUAACACAUCUGGAGAACAUCACCCUUCAGCCAUGAAGACCCUUUUCCUUUUGUUUGCUGCUCUCUUGUUCUUCAGUCAAAUUAUUUCAGGAAGUUCUCAGCCUGCCCCUGAUACCUUAGAAUGCAGGAGGAGUCACCAUGGAUUCUGUAAAUCCCGCUGUCCUCCGCACACUACGCCUACUGGAGGGAGCUGUCAGUGGGGAAGCCUGAUUUGCUGUAAAUCUAUUUAUAGGCAGAGAAAGUGAUAAUCAACCCAAAGGAAGACUUCUGGAUUCUAGAGAAAUACAUGCUGGCUUUGGAAAUUGGUGGCUUUGACUUCGAAGUCAAGAAUAAAGAGUCAUUUGUUUGGACUAUAAACAGACAUAAUGUUCUGCAAAGAAAUUCACAUUCCUCUC